rnacentral:rRNA from 1 species
UACCAGCGCCCCGAGUGGUCGGGACGAUUAUUGGGCCUAAAGCAUCCGUAGCCGGUUCUACAAGUCUUCCGUUAAAUCCACCUGCUUAACAGUUGGGCUGCAGAGGAUACUAUAGAGCUAGGAGGCGGGAGAGGCAAGCGGUACUUAGUGGGUAGGGGUAAAAUCCGUUGAUCCACUGAAGACCACCAGUGGCGAAGGCGGCUUGCCAGAACGCGCUCGACGGUGAGGGAUGAAAGCUGGGGGAGCAAACCGGAUUAGAAACCCGCGUAGUCC